rfam:Mastigocoleus testarum BC008 Contig-18, whole genome shotgun sequence.
CAACUUCGAUUUGUUGGGGACAAAUAAAGUGAAUGUGGGAAUCAAUACCACCAGCUGUCAGAAUCAUUCCUUCACCAGCUACAGCUUCGGUUCCGGGACCAAUAAUAAUAUCUACAUUAUCUUGAAUAUAAGGAUUUCCAGCUUUACCAAUUUUAAAUAUUUUGCCGUCUUUAAUGCCAAUAUCUGCUUUAACGAUACCCCACCAAUCGAGAAUUAAAGCAUUAGUUAUUACCAUAUCAACAGCACCAUCACUGUUAGAGAUGGGAGAUUGUCCCAUUCCAUCGCGAAUUA